rnacentral:rRNA from 1 species
GACGAACGCUGGCGGCGUGCUUAACACAUGCAAGUCGAACGGGAGUAUUGAAGAAGCUUGCUUUAGAGAUACUUUAGUGGCGGACGGGUGAGUAACGCGUGAGGAGCUGUCCAAUGCAGGGGGACAACAGUUGGAAACGACUGCUAAUACCCCAUAAGCCGAGAGGUAAAAGGAUUUAUCCGGCAAUGGAGGUACUCGCGUCCUAUCAGCUAGUAGGUGAGGUAACGGCUCACCUAGGCGAAGACGGGUAGCCGGCCUGAGAGGGCGAACGGCCACACGGGAACUGAGAUACGGUCCAGACUCCUACGGGAGGCAGCAGUGGGGAAUAUUGGGCAAUGGGGGGAACCCUGACCCAGCGACGCCGCGUGGGUGAAGAAAUCCUUCGGGAUGUAAACUUCUUUUGUACGUGAAGAAGCAGAUGACGGUAGCGUACGAAUAAGUCCCGGCUAACUACGUGCCAGCCGCCGCCGUAA